rfam:Trichobilharzia regenti genome assembly, scaffold: TRE_scaffold0002279
AUCCAGUUGACGAGUCUUAAACAGGACGAAAUGCACGUUGUCUUGGAU